rnacentral:rRNA from 1 species
GGAUUAGGCAUGCAAGUCGCACGAGAAAGGUUCUUCGGAAGCCGAGUACAGUGGCGAACGGGUGAGUAAUGCAUAGACAGCUCGCCCUUGAGAUGGGGACAACGCCUCGAAAGGGGUGCUAAUACCCAAUGCCGCCUUGGGCCCGCGGGUCCAGGGUGAAAGGAGGCCUCUGAUUCAAGCUUCCGCUCAAGGAGAGGUUUAUGUCCUAUUAGCUAGUUGGCGGGGUAACGGCCCACCAAGGCUGCGAUGGGUAGCCGACCUGAGAGGGUGACCGGCCACAUUGGGACUGAGACACUGCCCAGACUCCUACGGGAGGCUGCAGUCGAGAAUCUUCCGCAAUGCGCGCAAGCGUGACGGAGCGACGCCGCGUGGGUGAUGAAGGCCUUCGGGUUGUAAAACCCUGUCAGCUACUACGAAACACGGGCGAUGAACAAUCGUCCCGUCUGACUUAAGUAGCAGAGGAAGCACCGGCUAACUACGUGCCAGCAGCCGCGGUAAUACGUAGGGUGCAAACGUUGUUCGGAAUCACUGGGCAUAAAGGGCGCGUAGGCGGUCUGAUAAGUCAGGUGUGAAAUCCCUCGGCCUAACCGAGGAACUGCAUUUGAUACUGUCGGGCUAGAGUACAGGAGGGGAGAGUGGAAUUCCUGGUGGAGCGGUGAAAUGCGUAGAUAUCAGGAGGAACGCCGGCGGCGAAAGCGACUCUCUGGCCUGUUACUGACGCUGAGGCGCGAAAGCUAGGGGAGCAAACGGGAUUAGAUACCCCGGUAGUCCUAGCCCUAAACGAUGGGCACUAAGUAGAGGGGUUUU